UCUGGGUCUUUCAGGCUCCGAGUUGUAAUUUGUAGAAGAUGCUUCGGGUGCGGCUCCGGUCUAAGUUCCUUGGAACAGGACGUCAUAGAGGGUGAGAAUCCCGUAUGUGAUCGGCCGCUUGCGCCCAUGUGAAGCUCUUUCGACGAGUCGAGUUGUUUGGGAAUGCAGCUCCAAAUGGGUGGUAUAUUUCAUCUAAAGCUAAAUAUUGGCCAGAGACCGAUAGCGCACAAGUAGAGUGAUCGAAAGAUGAAAAGCACUUUGGAAAGAGAGUUAAACAGUACGUGAAAUUGUUGAAAGGGAAGCGCUUGCAACCAGACUUGCGUGUUGUUGAUCAUCCGGGGUUCUCCCCGGUGCACUCGACCUCACUCAGGCCAGCAUCGGUUUCGGUGGUUGGAUAAAGGCCUUGGGAAUGUAGCUCCUCUCGGGGAGUGUUAUAGCCCUCGGUGCAAUGCAGCCUACCGGGACCGAGGACCGCGCUUCGGCUAGGAUGCUGGCGUAAUGGUUGUAAGCGACCCGUCUUGAAACACGGACCAAGGAGUCUAACAUCUAUGCGAGUGUUUGGGUGUCAAACCCAUACGCGUAAUGAAAGUGAACGGAGGUGAGAACCCUUAAGGGUGCAUCAUCGACCGAUCCUGAUGUCUUCGGAUGGAUUUGAGUAAGAGCAUAGCUGUUGGGACCCGAAAGAUGGUGAACUAUGCCUGAAUAGGGUGAAGCCAGAGGAAACUCUGGUGGAGGCUCGCAGCGGUUCUGACGUGCAAAUCGAUCGUCAAAUUUG
rnacentral:rRNA from 1 species